UUUUUUUUUUUUUUUGCUUCAGUCUUAGGAAUUAGUGAUGGGCUUAGAUAGUAGUUCCUGGAGAGGGGAGAUGAUAAUCCUUUUCGUGAUAAAGGAACUAGGUGGAGUCUGAACUGCCUCUAGAGCUGUAUUUCCAUUCUUGCAAGGAUUUUCUAAAGACAGUUGCUCUUGAUUUCCCACAAACUGGAUCGUAACGCAAAUUACAUUCCAGUUUGAUCUACCUGUCCAGCUGCAUCACAAAAGCACAGAGAAACCCCUCAAGUUUUCUCCCAGAUGGAGUUAGAAUGCAUCCGCAGGGUGGGCCUCCGGGGAUGCUUAGGGGCCUUCCCUGUGGCAGUAAAGCCAGUGUCUGACUGACAGCAGAUGGAGAAAGGCUGCAGAGGCCGAUUGCGGAUGUUGACAUAGCUAUAAGAUUUAGUCAAGUCCCGCUCAGCCUGGGCACUUUGUCUCCGAGCCAGCACAGUUGAGGUAGGGAAGCAAGAGGCAAAGGCCUGGAACUGGCUGGAGGCUGGGGCUCCUAGAGCCAGGUUUGAGAGUUAAAUCCCUGGCAAAAGGCUUAUUUUUCCAAUUUUACAGAAGGUCAAGGUUCUGCUCAGGUCCAGCCUGAACUUUAACCUCGACUUGGUGACAACAAAGGAGAUGAUGAAUAAGACAGACAAAGAAAGGAAAAGAAGAGCUCAAACCUCGCCCUCCUGGCCUCUUCCAGAGGGUUAUCAAGAUAAGAGUCACACAACAGUUCCUAUGCUGCGGCACACUACCCUAGCACGACAGUUCACAGAAUGAAUCACAGGUCUCCUACCCUCAUAACCGACUCAGUAGGUGACUAAAAUACUCAAUGAGUCAACCGUCAAGAGAGGGCACCCCCACUUAGGGUUGCUGGGGUGAUCAGGCCCAGAAACCCAAAGUUGGGGCUCCCAGCGGUGGAGCCUUUUACUCUUUAAAGAUUUCUUUCCCAAUUGCAAAGCUCAAAUGGAGACGAAAAUGGCCAUUGUAACUCUUAAGAGAGACAAAAGAAACGGGUCCAUUACCAUGAAAAAUCCCCCCUGAACCUAGGGCAGCGUCCUACCCGUCGUUCCUACUGUGGGGUUCCUAUAGCAAGGGGUGAUGGGGGCGUCCCCCGGCAUUGCAUCCCUUGUAUACCUUCCCUGUUAUGCCUGGCAGUAACAGGUGCCUGGUGCCUAUUCUGCCUGACAGCAUAGGCCUGGUGAAUGGUUCCUGAGAGAAAAGGAGAAAGAAAAGGGGCCAUUACCUUGAAAAUCCCCCCAUUGGGGUUCCUGUUGCAAGGGAUGAUGGGGGCAUCCCUUGAACAUCUUCUCUAUUCUGCCUGACAGUAAUAGGUGCCUGGCGUAUGGUCCCCAGGAGAGAAAAGGACAAAGACAGUGAGAAAGAGAAAGACAGUGAGGAAUUUUCCGCCAGUCUGGGGGACAUUCUACCCAAUUGCAGCCUGGAGCCAUUCUCCCAAGAAGGGGUUCCCAUACUCCACCAAAGGUUAGAGUUUGGUACUUUCCUUGAACUGGAGUCCCGAGUGGGACUUUCCUCGCAGUUCAGAGCAUGGUCAGGUGCCAGAGGGAGGGAUCCCAAUCCAGCCUUAGGAAAAGAAACCUUCCACGGGAGUCUUGGAGAUUGGCGGCUGUCCUAAUGACUUAAGUGGCCGACCCGCGCCCACGCAAAAUUUGUCUAUUAGAGAUAAAGUCAGGAAGGAAUGGAUUAAUUCAUUCUCCAUCACCCUGAGGCUUAAGGUACUGAAUCUCUUCAAGCUGAAUGCCACAAUUUGCCCCAUAGAGUAGCCAUGGGCAGCAAACGUGGAUUCAUACAGCUGUCCGAGAAAGUUCCCGAUGGAGCAGUGAAUCUAGAUCCAUCCUUGAAAAAGAGAAAGGCAUAAGGAAGAAAAGGGCACUUACCAGAACUCGAGCUCACAAGCCGAUGAAGCAAUUCCCCGUACGGGCCACCAGAAAUGAUGCGGGGUCGGUGAGCCGAGGAGUCGAAAGAAAGAUUUCUUAGACUCUCAAGAUCUGGCAGUAGUGCUCUUUUAUUUAGAAAAUAGUGUGGAAUAGCAUGGGGACAGGACCCAUGGGCAGUCAGAGCUUCUGCUGCCGCCGCUUCUGCUGCCCCCGCUGGCAUGGGGACAGAGCCCAUGGGCAGGCAGAGCUGCUGCUGCUGCCCCCGCUGGCAUGGGGACAGGACCCAUGGGCAGGCAGAGCUGGUGCAUGGGGACAGAACCCACGGGCAGUCAGAGCUCCUGCUGCUGCCUUCUCUUUUUUUCUUGUUAGUUUUUCUGGAGAUUUCUAUAUUAAAUUAGUUCUUUCAAGGAACUACGUGGUCCUCUCUUUUAUUUCUUGGUUUUAUAUAUCAUUAAUUUCUCAUCUUGCUUUUAUUCUUCUUCCUUUUACUUACCUUAUGAUUAUUCUUAUUGUCAUUUAUUUCAAAAUAUUUUGUAACUGCCAUUAUGACAUUUCUUGAACAUUUGAAUUCUUUAGGGAUGAUUUCUUUUUCCAAAUGUGUAAAAUAUUAAAACUGUCUUUUAAUUGACGAUUUCUAAAUCCACUGCAUUGUCAAGAAAGAAUGUUUGAUUUUUAUUCAUUCUUUGAAAUAGUUUUUGGAAAUGUCUUUCUGUGUAUUUGAGAAUAAUAAAUAAUCCUCAUUUGCUGCAUACAAUCAUUAUUUUAUAUGUGUCUAUUAAGUUGUAUUACUUAAUUUUGUUAAACAAGUAAUCCAUAUACUUACCAAUGCGUUAGCACUUGAUCUGCCAGUUACUAGUAUGAGUGCAUCAUGUAAUUCUAUCACUUUUAGUUUCACUUUUAUUCUUUUCCAAAUUUUAUACACACAUGCUUUUUAAAUAUAUAAUUUUAAUAUUACUAAUAUUAGUAAAUUUAAUACUUAGAUAACAUAUUUUUAAAAAAAUCUAAGUUUAAUCCAUUAGCAUUUAUUGGAAUUAAUCAUAUAUUUGAACUUGUUUCUAUCAUCUUAUUCUGUGAUUUAUAUAGAACAAAACAUUUUUUUACCUCUUGUAUAGACCUUUAUCUCUACACACUUCUAGAAGCAAUAUAUCACAUUUUUAUUCUUUGAGUGGGUAUUCUUGGUUUUUUAUUACCAUAAGUACUUAAUUCUAAGUUUUUCAACAAAGUCCAUCCUGCAGUUGCACCAGAUUUCUUCAAUUAUAGAAUUUUCUUUAUUAAUCCUAUACUGUACUCAGAAUGUACAUUCCUACCCAAGAGCUCAUCUUCUUUUUCAUUUUGUAGAAUUCUUUUUUCCUUUAAACAUUGCUUUUCCACUUUAUUAAUUAGCUCUUUCCACAAUACUCCAUCUUAAACAUGCAUGUACACACACACCAGCCAGUGGCAUGAAACAACAAGCAUAUAUUUCUUUUUCCUUUUUUCUUGUUUUUGCUGAGGAGUUUUGGCACUGAGCUAACAUCUGUUGCCAGUCUUCCUCUAUUUUCUAUGUGAGUUACUGCCACAACAUGGCUGCUGAUGAAUGGUGUAGGUCUGGGCCUGUGAACCAAACCUAGGCCACCGAAGCAGAGCACACUGAAGUCAACCAAUAGGCCAUGGGGCCAGGCCAACAAGCAUAUAUUUUUUGCUCACAUAUUUGCAGAUUAGCUGGGAGGGUCUUCCAGGGCAGGUCUGCAAUUUGGUUGAGAUUUGGAUGAUCUAGACGUGGCUCCAGGCCGUGGGUUCUAUUUCAGUUG
rnacentral:lncRNA from 1 species